rnacentral:lncRNA from 1 species
GUUCUUGAUCCCCAUGAUGGGGAGUUUCCUGAGAAUCUGCUCUGGAUGCCACCAGUGCCUGUGGCUCCGAUCACAAAGCUCUCUCCCAGCUCUGUGAGGUGAUGGAUGGGCUGCGUGGCAUGUGACUCUCUUGCUGGGGAGGGAAGACGCUGAACUGUGGGUGACACAUAAUCUGGAGCCCUUGCAGGCUUAGCCCCUCCAUGGAAUACUAUGAGGACAGCAGGAGCACCCCAGCAAAAGCUCUUGACCUUGACGGAUAGAACGAUGAUUUUGGUUGACCAUCCACCUGGAAGUGCUGGAGGCCAGACCUGUACUGUGAGGAGGUUUCAAUUCAUGAGGAAGCAGAUCCAGGUGGGGGCUGCGUGGCCAGGAUGGGCUCUUACUAUGUCAUCUUGAAUAUUAUGCUCCAGAUAAUCUGCCCGCUUGCUCAGCAUAAAUACAGUGAAGUAUCCUUGCACUUUUUAUUGAGAUGAAAUUUAUAUUCUGUGAACUGCACAGAUCAUAAUUGCAUAACCCACAAAGUGUGACAAAUGCACACACUUCAAUCAAGAUAAAGAAUAAUUUAAUCAUUC